GAGGCAGCAGUGGGGAAUUUUGGACAAUGGGCGAAAGCGUGAUCCAGCCAUGCCGCGUGCAGGAUGAAGGCCUUCGGGUUGUAAACUGUUUUUGUACGGAAAGAAAAGCCUCUUUCUAAUAAAGAGGGGUCAUGAGGGUACCGUAAGAAUAAGCACCGGCUAACUACGUGCCAGCAGCCGCGGUAAUACGUAGGGUGCGAGCGUUUAUGGGAAUUACGGGGUAAAAAGCGUGCGCGGGCGGUUUUGUAAGACAGAGGUGAAAUCCCCGGGCUCAACCUGGGAAGCGCUUUUGUGAGUGCAAGGCUAGAGUGCGGCAGAGGGGGAGAGAAUUCCGCGUGUAGCAGUGAAAUGUGUAGAUAUGCGGGGGAACACCGAUGGAGAGGGCAAUCCCCUGGGCCUACAGAGACGCUCAUGCGAGAGAGCUGGGGGAGCAAACAGGAUUAGAUACCCUGGGAGUCCACGCCCUAAAAGAUGUCAACUGGUUGUUGGGUCUUCACUGACUCAGUACCGAAGCUAACGCGUAAAGUGACCG
rnacentral:rRNA from 1 species